rnacentral:rRNA from 1 species
CCUACGGGAGGCAGCAGUGAGGAAUAUUGGUCAAUGGACGAGAGUCUGAACCAGCCAAGUAGCGUGAAGGAUGACUGCCCUAUGGGUUGUAAACUUCUUUUAUAUGGGAAUAAAACAGGGUAUGCAUACCCUUUUGUAUGUACCAUAUGAAUAAGGAUCGGCUAACUCCGUGCCAGCAGCCGCGGUAAUACGGAGGAUCCGAGCGUUAUCCGGAUUUAUUGGGUGUAAAGGGAGCGUAGGUGGAUUGUUAAGUCAGUAGUGAAAGUUUGCGGCUCAACCGUAAAAUUGCAGUUGAAACUGGCUGUCUUGAGUACAGUAGAGGUGGGCGGAAUUCGUGGUGUAGCGGUGAAAUGCUUAGAUAUCACGAAGAACUCCAGUUGCGAAGGCAGCUCACUGGACUGCAACUGACACUGAUGCUCGAAAGUGUGGGUAUCAAACAGGAUUAGAUACCCCUGUAGUC